GAAAAUACAUUUAUCUCCCUUGAACAGGAUAUUAUCUUGAAACCAUCUGCCAUCCUCCCUUUCUCUUCAUUUGAGACCAAGCACAGAGACACUGAUGAAUAGUCAUUGACUGACAGUAUUGGUUCAGUGAAGGUGGAGUGAAAUGCAGGUGUGUCAUAGUAGACUUGUUAGAAGGACAGAAUGCCUUGUGAGGAGUUCAGAUACACCAACUCUUGUCAGUGUUUGAGGAAACGACGUUUGAGGAGUCUCAGGCGCCAGGAUUUGUCAUUGUAACAAAAUAAACAGUUGAGCUCUUAGGUUAAAGUUAGGGUUAGCUAAAAUGCAAAAUGAGAACUACUUUUGACGUUAAUUUAACUUUUAUGGCGGUACGCAAACAUGUUAGAGGUGCAUGCCGCCACCCACUGUACAGGGUAGUAUACGCGAUAAAAAUAAAACAUUAAGGGAAAGGUGAGAGAUAAAUCACAUCGUUCCCAAAUAAUAAACAAAUGACAAAGAAACAACUGAUUGCUACAGGCUCUCUGGUGCCUGAGAAAGAAUAACAUAUUCAGACAGUAUUCCUUAUGUUUCAGCCGUCAAAUCCUGGAUUCCCAAGACCCUUUCACCCGCAGAUACAACGAUGGCCAGUUUCUUAUACUCGUUUGGCCAGUACAAUUAAUCACUUGCACAAUAAAACGCCACGAAAUCAACCUUGACGAUCAGUAUAUCAGUUUCCCUCAGCAGUUGAAGUGGGACCAUUCUAGUCAAUGAGACGGCAGAUACGCGUGUGAACAUGCAUAUAACACUGAUAUAAAGUCGUUUUUUCAAAGUUGCCGAAAUUCCAAGUGUGUCAACUCAUAUCUGCAUUCGUAACAACCUACCAUUAAGAAAUUUAAUUCGAUCAAAUAAACCAUGAAUUGAACAUUGAGACUCGGAGUGUAAGAACGAGUGGGCUACGGUCGUGAAAAAGAAAGGAAACAAAAUAAGUAAUGUUGAGAUGGAAACUAAGAAAUCCCUAGAUUCGUUUAUAGUCGGAGUGAGGGGGUUGAUGUCACCUGUAUGGAACGCCGCUUGGGUCUUAAAGCACGUGGUCAAAACGCGAUCCUUCUAAUGCUACGUGUGUAAAGUAAACAGGUGUAGGCGCUAAAUUAACGUAUUAACGCGUUCAAUUAACGCCUACACGAAUCUAAUAGCGUGCAAAUGUGCUUGCAGGCUGUUCAAUUUGUGCUAAAUAAACGGCUGCAAGCGGUCCUGCACAUGUCAAGUUAACGCCUAGAGCUGCUAAAUAUACACCUACACACGCUAAUUGAACGAGUUCCUUAAUAUGCUAAUUGUUUCCCUAGCUCCUUCUUUCAAUCAGGUAACACAGUUUGAAGGAACGUCCUUUUCCACUGCAAGCCGAGUUUGAACAAUUACAAGAAGGGAACCAUGAAGAGGAGCUUGGAGUGGGCAAGGGAGAGGCUGAUAAAGCAGCAGAGACACUUCAAUCUGACACUCUUGUUAAUGUUUGACGUCAGGCAAAACGUCUUCAGCCACCGUAGGACGGAGAGCCGCUGGUUGGCAUUUGACUGCAGUGUCUGUCUGGGUGUACCAGGGAAGGACGUUAGAAGUUAGGUCCCCAUGAUAUCAAAGCUUCUUACCGUCUCCACUGCAGCCCAGUCGAUAUCGAUAAAAAAAAUAAAACUGAAACAAAGGAUUGUAUGACAUUAUGUACAACUCCAGUUUGCCUAUUGUCCCAACAAAUGUCAAUUAUAAAUUUUUACAUACGUCAGAGUGCAUUUUCUUUUAUAGCUUUGCGUUCAACGCCAUCCUUACCCACAAACUGGUUAGCAGGCUCUGGGUGUAAAUCCUGUAAUAAAUGAGAUUUUUUUACAUUAUAAGAAUGUGUAUCCCCAGAAUGGACCUGACACUACCAUGGUACACAUGAGUACAUGAAGGAGCUAUGGGACCUGACAAUGGUGAUAGGACAAGUCUCAGCAUAAGCAAAACAAAGUAGAUGGUGAUACUUGACCAUUCUCCCAUCUACUGUACAUUGACAUGGAGAUGAUCAGCAGCUGCAAGUUCCUGGGCACCCUGAUAUCCUUUUCUGCCCUCAGUUACUUCACUCAAAGUCCCACUUGUGCUUCUCCACUACCCUCAAACUUGCUGCACCAUGACCUAUGUACCAACUACAGUGUAUUUUAUUGCCAUAACACAUGUAAAGGAAAUGUCCAUAUUUACUGUAAGAUUUAUUUAUGGUAACAUUGCACAUAUUGGAACAUAGUCCCUUGACAUACAUGACUUAACUACUUUGCAUAAUGCUCAGUUUACCCACUAAAAUCAUAAAUGUAUUUAAAUAUUAA